UGAAAAUAAAAAUGACCAAUCGUACCAAAAAAGGACCAACAUAGUUUUCAUCCGCAGCGGUUUUUAACAUCCCAUAGAAAGUUAUUGUAAUCGAUCCGAUUUGUCGAAUUGAAAAUUUGAGUGGGUGUUAUUUUAACCGCAGCAAUUUAAAAAAAAUUGGUUAACCCAAAAUAACCAAUCCAAUUUACGUUUUUUUUUUUUAAAUCAAAAAAACUGAAAAAAAAUAAUUGUCACCUCGAAUAUUUAACGAAAAAAAUGGUUUUAUCUCUGAAAUAAUUGUAUGCAACGAAGAAUAACCUUGGUUGGAAUCAUGUAAGGUGAUUUGUGAUAGUUGACAGUCACAAUCAACAAAUUCGGUCUGUGUAAGGUGAUAGUCAUCUGUGAAAAUCACAAUUUUGUGAUUAUUUCCCGUGACAGCUAUUUAUGUAGGUGUCACUUUCAUAUGAAAUUGCUAUUAUUUUUUCUAUUGUCUGUCGUGUCUAGUCAAAAUGAAUGUGUUCGUGCCUUUGCCAUUGUUUUUUCCAUCCCAAAAUGCUAAAAAUCAAGAUAUGAAUCGUAAUAGAAAUGUCCGGCUUUUGAGAAUAAACCUCCGGAAUAAAUUUAACGUACUUGAUCUUCCAAAUCCAAAAUUUUUAAAAAACUUUCGAUUAACGAAAGAAACAUUUUUGCAUAUCCUUCACCUUUUGGAAUUGCCAAGUGGAAUUCGCUCAACCCACAUUUCCCAUAUACUCCAGUUAGCCAUAACACUUAAUUUUCUUGGAGGUGGUGCAUAUCAAAGGCAAGUUGGGGCUGACUGGUCAGCUCCCAUAGCCCAAAAUACAGUUUGUGAAGUCAUCUCUUCUACAUUGAAAAAAAUGGAGAGAACAUUGUGUCCCCUCAAAAUAAAGUUUACUCCAUCGAAUUCGGAAGCAACCAAAAGGUACUUUUAUGAGAAGUAUGACAUACCUAGAAGUAAGUGAGCUUUGUUUAUUGUAAAAAAAAUAUUUAAUUUUGCUAUUUUCCUAGUAAUCGGCUGCAUAGAUGGAAGUCACAUUAUGAUUCUCUGAUUAAAAAAUAAUUGUUACCUCGAAUAUUUAACGUAAAAAAUGGUUGUAUCUCUGAAAUAAUUGUAUGCAACGAAAAAUAACCUUUUUUUACAUC